rnacentral:rRNA from 1 species
GACGAACGCUGGCGGCGGGCUUAACACAUGCAAGUCGAGCGGAGCGGCGAACGGGUGAGUAACGCGUGAGUAACUGCCCCCCUCUCUGGGAUAACAGUUGGAAACGGCUCCUUAUACCGGAUAGUGGGGGAUGACUCGCGUCCUAUGAGCUUGUUGGUGGGGUAGUGGCCUCCCAAGGCGACGACGGGUAGCCGGCCGUAGAGGGGGACCGGCCACAUGGGUCUGAGGUACGGACCAGAGUCCUACGGGAGGCAGCAGUGGGGAGUAUUGCGCAACGGGGGAAACCCUGUGACAGCAACGCCGCGUGCGUGAUGACGGCCUUCGGGUUGUAAACCGCUUUCAGCCAUGACGCGUUAGUGGCAGAAGAAGCACCGGCUAACUACGUGCCAGCAGCCGCGGUAAUUC